rnacentral:ncRNA from 1 species
AAUUGAGCGUGGAAAGGGAGAAGUAGUGAUCAUUUCCCUGUUUUAGAGAGCUGAUGGUCGGUGAAAAUCAGCACAUAGAUGAUCGCGAAUUACAACUCUGGAGCAUCUUUCUUCGAUUGAACGAUAUUCAAAAGGGGAAAGACGGUGAUGAGCCGUUAUGUGAAUGAAGUGGUAGGCUUAUUUUGCCUGCAACUAGGGUGGUAUCGCGAUCAAAAAUCGUCCCUUAU